GACGAACGCUGGCGGCGUGCCUAAUACAUGCAAGUCGAACGCAGUGGGGACGGGUGAGUAACACGUGGGUAACCUCCCAUCAGAGGGGAUAACACUUGGAAACAGGUGCUAAACCGAUACUGAUGGAUGGACCCGCGGGGCAUUAGCUAGUUGGUGAGGUAACGGCUCAACAAGGCCACGAUGCAUAGCCGACCGGGUAGGGUGAUCGGCCACACGGGGACUGCGACACGGCCCAGACUACUACGGGAGGCAGCAGUAGGGAAUCGUCGGCAAGUGACAAAAGUCUGACCGAGCAACGCCGCGUGAGUGAAGAAGGUUUGCGGAUCGUAAAACUCUGUUGUUUGAGAAGCGGUAUCUAACCAAUAAGCCACGGCUAACUACGUGCCAGCAGCCGCGGGAAUUC
rnacentral:rRNA from 1 species